AGUUUUAGAAAUGUCGUAUAAAGAUUGUCUAGAUUUUGACAUAUUUUUAAGUUAUAUGAUCAUUAUUUAGUCCAUCGGUCUAUCAUAACUGUUGAUAAGUAUUGGACUUAACUCCAACAUAAAAAUUAUCAAUUGGCUUCUUAAUAAUGCUUUGGACUAUUUCAUAUAAUUAUUGAGUAGGUCUGUCUUAGAGCCAAACUUAUGACUUGCUACAUAGAUGUGAUGACCUCGAGAGGUUACAUUCUGAAAAUGAAUUUUCUUAAUAAGAGUCUUUGAAGGCAAUAGAAAAUGAAAAAAAAAAAAAAAUUGUGAGAUUCACAAUUGGGUAUUUAGUUCCAAUCUAUGGUGAUGUAUAGUUUCUUGAUUAGAUUGUUAGAGGAGAUUUAAAAUCAUCAUUUGAUUGCAAUUAUUAUAAACUUUUGCAUGGGUGUUUGUCAUGGGACUCAAGUCUUAACGAUUAUAGUAUUUGGGAUGUGGAGGAUUGAACUUGAAAUUUGGGACUUUUAACUCUACUAUGCAAUCAAGACAACCUACUUGAGAAUGCGAGCUCAGCAUGAUAAGGAUUUUGAAUUUGAAAGAGGUUUGCAAGCUUUACAUGAUAAGGAUUUUGAAUUUGAAAGAGGAUUGUGAGCUUUACAAGAUAAUUGCACAUCUUUUGAGACAUAUGUACGCUUCAUAGGGCAAGUUGGAUUUGAAGUUGUACUAUUUUUAGUGUGUGCGAUAUUUUUUAAUUUUAGGUUUAAGAGCUGGUUUGUUUAUCAGAGCAUAUACGCAUGAGUUUGUGUUCUUUUUUAUCUUUCCAAUGAGACAUGCUUCUCAUUUUAAGUUUUCAUUCAUUUUUAUUUUUUAUUUUUAUACUUUUUUAUCACAUUUGUAGUCAAGGUUCUUUUCAUUUUAUUUUUUUUAGUAUUUUCACUAAAUAAUUUUGCACUCUCUUGGCUUUGCUCUUGCAGGGGGCAUUUGGGUGAAUAUUGGUCCAGCCUAAAAGCAUAUAUAAUCGAUGUCUUAAGGCCUCAUGGCUAAGGACUUUAAACCCACCACGCUUAAAAAGUGUGCAUUAGACUUAAUAUACCUCCAUGAAAAUAAGUAUGACGCGUGAUGGAGUAUUCUCAUUGAGUUGAGAUAAUAUCAUAGGUCGAUGAUUUACUUAACCAGAGGGACCAAAUACAUUCCUCAUUCACGACAAUGCGCACAGUCGCCAACUCAACUGCAACCAUCAAUGGUGGCAGUAGCAGUAGCAGUAGAACUCGCACUGAUGACAUCAGUAUAGAUAGCCAGUCAGAGGAUGGAAGUUUGGAUGGCAAGGACAAAUCAAACAAGAAGAAAUGGUUCAAUCUUAAUCUUGGCCGGUCUGAUAAAAAAUUGUGAACCCUCCUACCUAUACAGAUCAUCUGAGACAAAAAUGGAAUAGCAAGGGCCACAUAUUCUUUUCGGUAAUUGCUUGGCGUUCAGGUAACAACUUUUCACUGCUAUGUUUGUUCUCAUUCGUUCACAUGAGCCUCUUAUAGGUUGCUGUAAGUUUUGUUACCAGAUCUUUAGAUCUAUCUACUUCUCUUUGCCUUUCUGCUUGGUGGCAGGUCAAUUAUGUUUGCCAAUUUGUUUCUAGGGCUGUAAAGACAUUUGUCACUGUUGAUAAUCCUCUCAUUAUUCUUGUUUCAUAAGUAAAGCCAAUUAUAAGGAUUUGAAACGGAUUUUUGUACAUAACAGAGACUGCAAUAGCUUUUGGUUUCUUAUCUGUUCUAAAAUAUAUAAGAUUUUAUGUCGAAUUGAACCUGUACAACCAUGUCUGGGGAACUUCUUAAAUGAACUUUGUGAAAGGCUGUAUUCA